rnacentral:misc_RNA from 1 species
UUUUUUUCUUCAUGUGUAUUUGUUCUUCUAUUUCUUUUGCUCCAAGUUUAGCUGUCAAUUGUAAAAUGCAUUGUAGCUGUGUACAGGUUUUUCUAUUUCGGAUAUUGAUUCCAUUUACACUCAGUUUCUACUGCUGUUGAAUCUGUAACAUAUUUUUCUCUCGUUAAUUACCUAUAAAUAGUAUUUCCUUUCUUUUUUUGUUUUCUUUCCAUUUUCUUCUCAAAUAAAUAAUUGUAGAAACAGAAGAAAGAAUUAAAUUCUGAAAUGCUAGCUCCUUUAUGCAAGAAAUGUAUUUCACGCUGCACUAUUGCAGUCUGGCCUUUUAGAUUGUGGAGGUGAAAUUGUUUAGUUUUUGUGAUUAAUAACGUUUUGAUAAUUUGUUUAUGGUUAAUAGCAAGCAUACGGCUAUGUUCAAUGUUAACAGUGCACAUUGUCACUUAUCUUCAAGUGCCAUUUAUUCUCUGCUUUUAAAGAUGAAUUAUGUGUUGAUUAUGAGAUUGUUAUGUCCCCUGAUGGUGGUAAGAAUCAUAGGAAGAAGUAGCUUUAUUGGUUGGUUGUCUUCAUUUUCAUUAGGCAAGUGAUUGUGGUGCCAUACAGGAUGAUGUGGUGUUAUUCAUGAAUGUACAUCUGGAUCCAUCUCCUAAGGGCUGUCCUUGCACACAAUCUUACUCAUUCAGCUAAGGUUCACUAUUCUUGCUUUUCUUCCCCUCUGUUGUAUAAGUCCAUAACUUGCCCAGUUGGCAACAAUAUUUUUUUUUUUUUAUAUCAGUGUGUGCUCUAAUGAUAUUUUAACUACUGUUCACAUUACCUUCAUUUUUUUAAUGUAUUUUUUGACAAAAGGUUUUAUGAUUUCUGCAGCAAUGGACUGGCUAAAUAUAUGAAUUCAUAAAAUUAGACUUUCAUAAGUAUGGUUUACUGUCCUAAUUCUUUGUGACAAAAAUACUGAUCAUUUAAAUUGAAGUAGCUUUAAUUUGUCUUGGCAUUUGAUGGAACUUUUGAUUUUUAGAUUUUCACAAGCAUGCAUUGUGGCAGGCGAUAUGCAAUGAAGCAGGUCUUGUUAUUGUUAAAUUUCAGUCAUGCAUGAGAUAGUGCCUCCCAUUGAUCUUUGGUGACAAUGGAAUUGGACCAAAGAAAGAAGCUGCUUUGUUAGGGGAGGUUAAGGAAGGAAAUCUCCAUUAUACUUUCUUUAUGCCUUGCAUUGCACAUUAGUGUCAAAUUUUUUUCACUGGGUAUAUUGCCUUUUUAAGUUGGCAAUAGUGAUGUUCUCUAAACUGGAUUCGACCAAGGAUUAACAACUGCAAUAUUUUGAGCUUACUACAUGCAUGCUAGGUGAACAAGUGAAUUUCCACAAAUAUAACUUGUUCUUCUUUCAUGGGUUGGCUGUUUGCAGGCAUUGCUCCAUUUUAUUUACUGGGAUGCCCUGCCAGAUGUGGAAGAACUUGUUGGCCUGAACUCUAAGUGGGCUUCUACCCUGAUGGCUCAGCAUCUGCUUGCAGCAGCAGACCGUUAUGCACUUGAGAGGCUCAGAUUGCUCUGUGAGGCUAAACUGUGUGAAGAUAUUGCUAUAAACACUGUUGCAACAACACUUGCCUUGGCAGAGCAGCAUCAGUGUCUCCAACUAAAAGCUGUCUGUCUCAAAUUUAUUGCACUGCCUGAAAAUUUGAAAGGUAAAAUUUUUUGGCAACAUCUGUGUAGGUUAGUUGAUUUGUUUUAGAAAGCUGUCUUUUUCCGUUGCAACAUUACUGUAUCUGUUUCUAGAAAUAUUUUUUGUUCACACGGAAAAUAUAUUUUAGAAAUUGAGUAAAUGUUUCUAUUUUAUUUCUGGAGCUGGAGUGGUGACUGUUUUAUGGUUUAUGAAUUUUAAUCUAAUGAAAACAUUAUUAAUGGCAAGUUGCUGGUGAAUUCUUUUCAGCUGUGAUGCAGACAGAUGGAUUUGAAUAUUUAAAGGAAAGUUGUCCUUCUGUCAUCACAGAACUUCUACAAUAUGUGGCUAGAAUUGGUGAGCGUUCUGCCAUCUGUUGUGGCCAUGAAAUUGAAAGCUUGGAUGGUGAUGUGAAUGGAAGGCGGGUGAAGCAAAGGUUACAUUGAUUUAGGAAUAACAUAUAGCUCACCAUUUGGACAAAACUGAAGCUUGUUAGGCUUAGAAAUUUUUGAGAUUGUACUAACAGUUGACUAUUUAAUAGAAAUUCAGUGGUAGCGGCUAUUCAGAAUCUGUCUUGUGUUUUGCUUUUUCCAGUACGUUGCUUAUAUAAUUUUGUGAACAAGUCCUGUCAGUUGCAUUGCAGCAAUUAGACGUUCUCAGUGUGAACUGGAGUGUAUGUCAAAAGUGUAGUUUCUGUUUUAUGAAUAUUUACUGUAUAUGCAGUGUAGUUGUCCUUUCGUGGGAUCACCAAUAGGCUGUAGCAGAAGAAAUAUACCUGCGAAUGUAUUCUAGUUACCGUUAUUGCAUCAGAUAAUACUGAAACGCGUGCCUCUGUCUCUCUCAACUU